GUGUCUGGUGUACAUUGUCACGUGCGUGCAUCCUCUACGAGUGGUUGUGCUUUUGUGUACUUUACUGUACAGUACUGUAUAGAGUACAGUAGUACAGUAUCUUUAUUUCAAGCCCAGGAUGUCAGGAAGCAAGCAUAAAAACAGCGGUGAUGUAACUAGUACUAAUGAUGAAAACAAAAGUG